UACGUAGGGGGCAAGCGUUGUCCGGAAUUAUUGGGCGUAAAGAGCGUGUAGGCGGUCCGGUAAGUCGGCUGUGAAAGUCCAGGGCUCAACCCUGGGAUGCCGGUCGAUACUGCCGGGCUAGAGUCCGGAAGAGGCGAGUGGAAUUCCUGGUGUAGCGGUGGAAUGCGCAGAUAUCAGGAGGAACACCAAUAGCGAAGGCAGCUCGCUGGGACGUUACUGACACUGAGGCGCGAAAGCGUGGGGAGCGAACAGG
rnacentral:rRNA from 1 species